AUCCAUCUGACGAGUCCCAAAAAAGACGAAACGUGCAUCGUACUGGAU
rnacentral:hammerhead_ribozyme from 1 species